rnacentral:lncRNA from 1 species
AAACAGAUCGAGCAUUAGACUUAUCAAGAAAAAACCCUUCGUAUAUAACAAACACGGGUCUCUCUUUACAUCUUUAUUAUAUGUUCGUGACCCAAAACAUAAUAAUAACUCUGUACCUAUAUUGAGCAAAGGAAUCGCAACCCUUAAUCAAUCAGAAGAAGUAAACAACAGAAGAUUGAGAAAACCAAAAAAAAAAAAAUUCAGUGUUUUUGAUAGAAGAAGCAAACCUGGAAGCGAGCAAUUAAGGAGAUGGGAUUGAAGAAGAUAGCAGUGAAUCAAUCAAUCAAUCACAAAUUGAGAAAUACGAAGCCAAAAAGUGAAGAUC